GACCUGCGGAGGAUCAUUACUGAGUGAGGGCCCUCUGGGUCCAACCUCCCACCCGUGUUUAUUGUACCUUGUUGCUUCGGUGCGCCCGCCUCACGGCCGCCGGGGGGCUUCUGCCCCCGGGUCCGCGCGCACCGGAGACACUAUUGAACUCUGUCUGAAGAUUGCAGUCUGAGCAUAAACUAAAUAAGUUAAAACUUUCAACAACGGAUCUCUUGGUUCCGGCAUCGAUGAAGAACGCAGCGAAAUGCGAUAACUAAUGUGAAUUGCAGAAUUCAGUGAAUCAUCGAGUCUUUGAACGCACAUUGCGCCCCCUGGUAUUCCGGGGGGCAUGCCUGUCCGAGCGUCAUUGCUGCCCUCAAGCACGGCUUGUGUGUUGGGCUCCGUCCCCCCGGGGACGGGUCCGAAAGGCAGCGGCGGCACCGAGUCCGGUCCUCGAGCGUAUGGGGCUUUGUCACCCGCUCUGUAGGCCCGGCCGGCGCCAGCCGACAACCAAUCAUCCUUUUUUCAGGUUGACCUCGGAUCAGGUAGGGAUACCCGCUGAACUUAAGCAUAUCAAUAAGCGGAGGAAAAGAAACCAACAGGGAUUACCUCAGUAACGGCGAGUGAAGCGGUAAGAGCUCAAAUUUGAAAGCUGGCUCCUUCGGGGUCCGCAUUGUAAUUUGCAGAGGAUGUUUCGGGAGCAGCCCCCAUCUAAGUGUCCUGGAACGGACCGUCAUAGAGGGUGAGAAUCCCGUA
rnacentral:rRNA from 1 species